rnacentral:rRNA from 1 species
CACGUAGGGCGCAAGCGUUGUCCGGAAUUAUUGGGCGUAAAGAGCUCGUAGGCGGUCUGUUGCGUCUGCUGUGAAAACUCGGGGCUUAACCCCGAGCCUGCAGUGGAUACGGGCAGACUAGAGUGCGGUAGGGGAGACUGGAAUUCCUGGUGUAGCGGUGAAAUGCGCAGAUAUCAGGAGGAACACCGGUGGCGAAGGCGGGUCUCUGGGCCGUAACUGACGCUGAGGAGCGAAAGCGUGGGGAGCGAACAGG